UACGGGGGGAGCAAGCGUUGUUCGGAUUUACUGGGCGUAAAGGGCGCGUAGGCGGCUACUGCCAGUCAGUUGUGAAAUCUCCGGGCUUAACCCGGAAAGGUCAACUGAUACUGCAGGGCUAGAGUGCAGAAGGGGCAACUGGAAUUCUCGGUGUAGCGGUGAAAUGCGUAGAUAUCGAGAGGAACACCUGCGGCGAAGGCGGGUUGCUGGGCUGACACUGACGCUGAGGCGCGAAAGCCAGGGGAGCGAACGGG
rnacentral:rRNA from 1 species